rnacentral:lncRNA from 1 species
GUGGGGUCUGGGGAGGGUAGAAUGUACGCAGUCCAUACCACUACCUCUAAAGAAGUAGAGAGGCUGUUUCCGAUAGACCCCCGGCUCAAGACACAGGACAAUAUACAAAAAUAUUCAAAGCAUGAAACAUGAUAAAACUAACAUAGAUACAACAUCCACAAAAAAUAAUGUACAUUACCAAACAAAAGACACCAAAAUCUUCCUAACUACGGACUACGAUUCAUCCCCCCACCUUAUCCCUCUAUUCUAGUAUUUUUCCUCCAAACCUUCCUAUCUAGGGUCAUGUCCUCAGUGAGAUGUAACUGCUCCAUGUCACGUCUAAUCACUUCUCUCCAGUAUUUCUUUGGUCUACCCCUACCCCGCUUGAAACCAUCUAACGCU